rnacentral:tRNA from 1 species
UGAGAAGUAAGUUAAUUAAACUAUGUGACUCAUGAUCACAAAACACAUGUGUAUGUUUUCUCAA